GGACAGAUGGCCGAGUUGGUAAGCCACGAUUUCCGAUAUUGAAUAUACAAUACUAACAUUCAUAGGUUAUGGCGCCAGGUUAAGGUCUUCUUAGCACAAAUUUCCUGGUCACGAAAGUGGCGUGGGUUCGAGUCCCACUCUGUUCA
rnacentral:tRNA from 1 species